rnacentral:rRNA from 1 species
UACGGAGGGUGCGAGCGUUUGUCCGGAAUCACUGGGCGUAAAGAGCGCGCAGGCGGUCGAUCAAGUCCCGUGUGAAAGCCCCCCGGCUCAACUGGGGAGGGUCACGCGAUACUGAUCGACUCGAAGGCAGGAGAGGGUAGUGGAAUUCCCGGUGUAGUGGUGAAAUGCGUAGAUAUCGGGAGGAACACCAGUGGCGAAGGCGACUACCUGGCCUGUUUCUGACGCUGAGGCGCGAAAGCUAGGGGAGCAAAGCGGGG